AGGCCUGGUUUGGUUUGGUGAAUAAACUCAAUAUAAAAAAAUUCGGUUCUUAUCAGUUUAAUAUCUGAUACGUCCUCUACCCGAGGAUCAAUAUAUUAAUCUGAUUUUGGAACAGGAAUGAAGAGGGGCUUGUCUGGUCCGCUUCCACGCAGAUCGACCGGUAUUGCAGUGACCUUAUGGAACGGUGCACAUCCC